UACGAAGGGGGCUAGCGUUGCUCGGAAUCACUGGGCGUAAAGGGUGCGUAGGCGGGUCUUUAAGUCAGGGGUGAAAUCCUGGAGCUCAACUCCAGAACUGCCUUCGAUACUGGGAGUCUCGAGUCCGGGAGAGGUGAGUGGAACUGCGAGUGUAGAGGUGAAAUUCGUAGAUAUUCGCAAGAACACCAGUGGCGAAGGCGCUCACUGGCCCGGUACUGACGCUGAGGUGCGAAAGCGUGGGGGAGCAAACAGG
rnacentral:rRNA from 1 species